ACCCCAGGUUAGGCGGGACUACCCGCU
rnacentral:rRNA from 1 species